UUGUACUCUUACUGAAUUUCUGAAGGAAGUAACUUACUUUUUACUCUUUUACAUGUUACCAAAUCAUUUCAUAUACAUAUAUUUAUAUUAUUAUGUCGUCGCUGUCGGAUGAAAUCCUCCUUAUCAAAAUGUUGUUGAUUUUUUUAGAUUUUUUUUUUAACUUGAAUCUAUAGUAUUGUGACGACCCUGGGUUUAUAAGUGCGGAUGUCAACUCUGACGCUGGAGCUUGCUUUUGCGGCACAGUCGAUAGCGCACUGGACUUCGGGCUAGAAGGUCCAGGGUUCGAGACCUGCUUCCUGCUGUUUCAUUACAAUAUUGGUUCCCCUUUACGUUUGUAUGAAUGUUUCACAACUCCUUGACCAAUGAAAUGUAUUAGAAAUAGCUUGUCGUCAAAACUCUUAAGUCCAUUGUCUCUCAAAGUUGUCCGUCAAACCCAGUUGUAUCUCCUCCACAAUUCUUGAAGUGAAGAACACUUCACUCCUCAAGAUUUGUUUGUUCUUGGGUUCUCAGCCAGACACAAUCAGAGGAAGAGUAGCUGCUGCUUUCGCAACAGCUAAUGGGGAUACUAAUAAAAUACCAAAUACUGAUUGAGCAUGUUCAGGAUGUUCUGGAUCGACAUGUACGACAGUGUGUUCCAGUUCCCACCAAUAUCCAGAAACUUCGCAUAGACAUUGAAGAGGAGUGGGACAACAUUCCACAGGCCACAAUCAACAGCCUCAUCGCGAAGGUGAUGUGUUGCACUAUAUGAGGCAAAUGGUGGUCACCAGAUACUGACUGUUUUUUUUAUUUUAAUUUUAAGGUACACUAUAUAAAGAAAAAAGUAUGUGGACACCCCUUCAAAUGAGUGAAUUUGGCUAUUUCAGCUACACCCGUUGCUGACAGGUGUAUAAAAUUGAGUACACAGCCAUGCAAUCCCCAUAGACAAGCAUUGGCAUUAGAAUGGUUUUACUGAAGAGCUCAGUGACUUUCAACAGGGCACCGUCAUAGGAUGCCACCUUUACAACAAGUCCUCAGUUUGUCACAUUUCUGCCCUGCUAGAGCUACCCCGGUCAACUGCAAGUGCUGUUAUUGUGAAGUGGAAACAUCUAGAAGCAACAACGACUCAGCCGCAAAGUGGUCAUAGAGUUCUUUUCAGUUGACUGAUUUCCUUAUAUGAACUGUAACUCAGUAAAAUCUUUGUCUAUUCCAUUUAUAUUUUUGUUCAGUGUAUCUAAUGAAAAUCUAUUCAUUUUUUCUUUUUUCUUUUUCUUUUUACAAAUAGUCAAUUUUUCCACAUUAACAUUAGAGUAUUUUGUGUAAAUUGGUGACCAAAAAAGUAGUGGAAUGAAAACCUGAAGGCAUUGAGGAAAAGAUGGUAAAAUGUGUUUAUUCUGGAAAAUUUGAAACUGCCGUUUGCGCAGUUAGCGUAUUACUCUUGUGAAAGUGUAUUGAAGUACUUUGGAAAGCUAAUGUGGAGUGUACCAACUGAGAUUUAAAUAAUUUACAGAAAUAGAUUUUUACAAAUGUAAAAUAUUUUUAUUAUUAUGUUAUCCUUGUGUUAUUGAGAGAUAAACAUGGUAAUACUUUUACUGAUUGCACAUAAAUGAUGAUCAUUCAUA